GGGGGGCCCCAACGGGGAAAUUGGGACCCCCGGUCCCCAGAUUUCUUUUCGGGGAGGGGAGCAUGGGGGGAAUUUUUCCCCAAAGGGGGGCAACCCUUGAAGCAACCCUUCCCGGGUUUUUGGAAAAAAGGCCUUUCGGGGUUUGUAAAGCCAUUUUCAGGGGGGGGAGGAAGGCGGUUAAGGUUUAAUAACCUUUGUCGGAUUGACGUUACCCGCCAGAAGAAGCACCGGGCUAAAUUCCGUGCCAGCAGCCGCGGUUAUACGGAGGGUGCCAAGCGUUUAUUGGAAUUACUGGGCGUAAAGCGCACGCCCGGCGGUUUGUCAAGUUGGGAUGUGAAAUCCCCGGGCUCAACCUGGGAACUGCAUUCGAAACUGGCAGGCUAGAGUCUUGUAGAGGGGGGUAGAAUUCCAGGUGUAGCGGUGAAAUGCGUAGAGAUCUGGAGGAAUACCGGUGGCGAAGGCGGCCCCCUGGACAAAGACUGACGCUCAGGUGCGAAAGCGUGGGGAGCAAACAGGAUUAGAUACCCUGGUAGUCCACGCCGUAAACGAUGUCGAUUUGGAGGUUGUGCCCCUGAGGCGUGGCUUCCGGAGCUAACGCGUUAAAUCGACCGCCUGGGGAGUACGGCCGCAAGGUUAAAACUCAAAUGAAUUGACGGGGGCCCGCACAAGCGGUGGAGCAUGUGGUUUAAUUCGAUGCAACGCGAAGAACCUUACCUGGUCUUGACAUCCACAGAACUUUCCAGAGAUGGAUUGGUGCCUUCGGGAACUGUGAGACAGGUGCUGCAUGGCUGUCGUCAGCUCGUGUUGUGAAAUGUUGGGUUAAGUCCCGCAACGAGCGCAACCCUUAUCCUUUGUUGCCAGCGGUUAGGCCGGGAACUCAAAGGAGACUGCCAGUGAUAAACUGGAGGAAGGUGGGGAUGACGUCAAGUCAUCAUGGCCCUUACGACCAGGGCUACACACGUGCUACAAUGGCAUAUACAAAGAGAAGCGACCUCGCGAGAGCAAGCGGACCUCAUAAAGUAUGUCGUAGUCCGGAUUGGAGUCUGCAACUCGACUCCAUGAAGUCGGAAUCGCUAGUAAUCGUAGAUCAGAAUGCUACGGUGAAUACGUUCCCGGGCCUUGUACACACCGCCCGUCACACCAUGGGAGUGGGUUGCAAAAGAAGUAGGUAGCUUAACCUUCGGGAGGGCGCUACCAC
rnacentral:rRNA from 1 species